AGUCGACGGGAUCCAUCAAGCUUGCUUGGUGGUGAGAGUGGCGAACGGGUGAGUAAUGCGUGACCGACCUGCCCCAUGCUCCGGAAUAGCUCCUGGAAACGGGUGGUAAUGCCGGAUGUUCCACAUGAUCGCAUGUGAUUGUGGGAAAGAUUCUAUCGGCGUGGGAUGGGGUCGCGUCCUAUCAGCUUGUUGGUGAGGUAACGGCUCACCAAGGCUUCGACGGGUAGCCGGCCUGAGAGGGCGACCGGCCACAUUGGGACUGAGAUACGGCCCAGACUCCUACGGGAGGCAGCAGUGGGGAAUAUUGCACAAUGGGCGCAAGCCUGAUGCAGCGACGCCGCGUGAGGGAUGGAGGCCUUCGGGUUGUAAACCUCUUUUGUUUGGGAGCAAGCCUUCGGGUGAGUGUACCUUUCGAAUAAGCGCCGGCUAACUACGUGCCAGCAGCCGCGGUAAUACGUAGGGCGCAAGCGUUAUCCGGAUUUAUUGGGCGUAAAGGGCUCGUAGGCGGCUCGUCGCGUCCGGUGUGAAAGUCCAUCGCUUAACGGUGGAUCUGCGCCGGGUACGGGCGGGCUGGAGUGCGGUAGGGGAGACUGGAAUUCCCGGUGUAACGGUGGAAUGUGUAGAUAUCGGGAAGAACACCGAUGGCGAAGGCAGGUCUCUGGGCCGUCACUGACGCUGAGGAGCGAAAGCGUGGGGAGCGAACAGGAUUAGAUACCCUGGUAGUCC
rnacentral:rRNA from 1 species